AUGUACAGAAGCUUGGCCCGUUAGACGCCUGCCCUUCAAGGUCGUGUAGCCGUCAUGCAUUUUUAGGGUUCAUCCUCCUGUGAAUUUUGAUUAGGUCUAAGAUCAAUGGAGGAUCUAAAAUUCCCGGAGAGAUACGAAUCUUCAUGUGUAAACAUUGCGUCUAUGUCGGUUCGUGUCGUGUCGUUUUGUUAUCGAUUCUAUCUCCUCACAGGCGUUACAAAUAGCAUUUAUUCAAUAUCAUUAACGAGUUCUUAACAACCACAAUCAAUCAUUCAAUGGUUCUUAUCCCUCUUCCAAACUCUGGAUCUUCACCUAUAAAAGAGCUUCAGCCAUUAAUGGUGGUGGAAUGAAAUCAGUUGGUGGCGGAGGAAAGAGGACAUCACUUGGCGGUGGUGAUGGUCGGAGUUGGUUUGUGUAACAGGCACCUGCACCCCCUGUCAAGUUCUCCAACGACACCGAGCGGCUUCAGUUUAUCGACAGCUUAAGAAAAGGUCUUGCUGGUGCUCAUAUCAAACAUGUUAUUGAACUCUUAAUUGAGGUUUCCGCUUCCUUCAAGGCAAGCCUUUACACCAGAGCAAAUAACGAAGGUUGUUUUGUUAUGUUAUUAAUUAUUAUGCUUGCCACAAGGCUGUUUUUGAUAAUUUGAGAAACAAUGUGUGUGCUAUUAAGGGAGGAGGUUCUUUUACAAGGUAUAAACUUUUCGCUUGAUUAAAGAUUUUUUCUCUUUUUGAACAACAAUCGUGCUGCUGUCACAUGCUAAGCACAAUGUCAAAGAUUAGACACAGGCCAUUGAACAUGUAAUGGCAAACUUAUGGUUUGACAGGUCCGUAACACAUGGAUUACAUUUUAAACGUUGACCACUUCAGUCGUGUGUUAGUUGUGGGUGUUAAAGAGUUUUUCAUUGUUCACCUUUCUGAAUUCAGAGCCACAUGUACAAAAUUAAACAUAUUCCAUGUUUACUGAUUUAGUUCUACUGGAUCCCCCUUUUUUUUUUUGGAAACGACAACCAUAGACGGCAGACUUUCUUUGGAUUGCGAAAGUUGAAAAGAUUGGCAUUUCUUAUGUAUGGUGCUACUUCGCCUGUGCAAAAUGUCCAAGCAAACUUCAACGUGAGUUGAUAUCAUUUACUUGCGGAGCAUGUCAUAAUGAGAAUGACGAUGGGGUUAUAAGGUACCGUGUGCAGCUUUCAGUGUCAGAUGGCUCGGAGAACAGUGAAUGUCUGUUCAGCCUGCUUUAGGCAGAGUCACAGUACUGAGUAGACAAGACAAUGGUUCCACCAUAGGAGUGUACAGCUAUAAAGGCACAUACUUAACUUCUCAAGUUUCCAAGAUUAUGACCUUACGUUUUACUCGCAAGCGUUGAUAUCACCUACUAAGUUUUCAAAUUAUUCCCACAAUAAAGUUACUUUUGAUUUGCUUAUUUGCUAUUUCUGGUCAACUUGACAAUGUUACUGCCACGACUUUCUGAUGUUGAGUUACGAUCAUGAAAAGCUACAAAAUCAUGGUCGUUGGAUUCUCAAUGGUUCUUUUAGUAACAUUUAACUUCAGAAGAUUAUGAUCACAUGGUUUGAACCUCUCACACUAAUAUCUUUAU